GCACCGGUAGCUCAGCUGGAUAGAGCACUUGACUUCGAAUCAAGGGGCCGUGGGUUCGAAUCCUACCCGGUGCACCA
rnacentral:tRNA from 1 species